UCACGUUCACGCUCACCAAAGUCCAAACCCUAAAUUUCCUAAUUCAAGUCGCCGCUCACUUUCAUCAUCACCGGCGGCCAUCUCUCAUCAUCGGCGGGCGGCGGCCAUCUUUUAUCAUAUUCCGGCGUCGUUCAUCAUAUUCCGGCUUCGUUAGGGCAAAAUUAUCUCACACUGGUCUCCACAGCUCCGACCAUCGUCAUUGUCCACACCACCAGCUCCGCCGCCGGCCGCCAAGGUAAAGCUGACGUGGAGGGAGUACAAUACAUCUUGAAGCAUGAGGAAGUCAUUAUUGUUGAAGGUUUAAAUUGGAGUAGUCGAAAGAUUUUACAUAGACAAAACAGUUGGAGGUACGUGACACCUAUAUAGAACCGUAAUCUGAGAAUAUUUGGUUUAUAGCCGGUUGGGCCCCAAAUUGGACCGAACCCCAGACCGCGUAUCCAUGUUUUGUUCGGAGUUUCACUCACUUCUGUAUGAACAUAUAACUAUGUUUUUGGGUGAUAAUUGUUCCUUGGUUCACCUCAGAGUCAAAACAUCGAAACGUUUCAUAACCAAUUCUUUAAGACAAACCAAAGAGAGAUGAUUAAUGCAACAAUGAGCGGACGUGAUGUUUUUGCUAUAAUGCCUAGUGGAGGUGGAAAAGGUCUGACCUAUCAAGUAGUUUUUGCUUCUAUAAUGAUUUUAUCUUUUUAAUUCUGGAAUUCACAUUCUUUGUUUUGAACAAUGUUGGUUUUAUUGCAGCUACCUGCUUCAAUCAGAAAAGGUGCAACAUUGGUAAUCUCCCCACUUAUUUCACUUAUUGAAGAUCAAAUUACGCAUCUCGGAAUGGUAUGCAUUUGAAGAUUUAGUUCCCAAUAUAGAUAAUUAGAAAAUGUUUACAUGAAGGAAAUUCAAAUGCGUACCCUUUCGAGAUGCGUAAUUUGAUCUUCAAUAAGUGAAAUAAGUGGUGAGAUUACCAAUGUUACGCCUUUUCCGAUUGAAGCAUGUAGCUGCAAUAAAACCAGCAUUGUUCAAAACAAAGAAUGCAAAUUCCAGAAGUAAAAAGAUUAAAUCAUUAUAGAAGCAAAAACUACCUGAUAGGUCAGGUUUUUUCCACCUCCACUAGGCAUUAUAGCAAAAACAUCACGUUCACUCAUUGUUGCAUUAAUCACCUCUCUUUGGUUUGUCUUAAAGAAUUGGUUAUGAAACGUUUCGAUGUUUUGACUCUAAGGUGAACCAAAGAACAAUUAUCACCAAAAAACAUAGUUAUAUGUUCAUACAAAAGUGAGUGAAACUCCGAACAAAACAUGGAUACUCGGUUUGGGAUAAGGUCCAAUUUGGGUCUAACCGGCUAUAAACCAAAUAUUCUCAGAUUACGGUUCCAUAUAUGUGUCAUAUACCUCUAAUUGUUUGGUCCAUGUAAAGUCUCGACUACUCCAAUUUGAACCUUGAACAUGCUGAUUGUAAUGGUGAAUUCUCUAAGAGAAAAGGAAGUGUAGGGAAACAAAUCCAAGCCUCCGAGACGUCGUCGCUUCGUACAAAUGGAUCGUAGGGUCGGAAAACAGUUUCUGGGGGAAAGCAGGAUUUCAGUUUUAUAUAGGUAACUAGGUGGACUUGGUCAAGUUGGAAUAUCGUGGAAUGUGCUUGGAAUUAAGCAUGUGCAAGUGAGGAAUCAACUCUUGUGGGCGAUCAUGGGAGCUCCCCCAUUUCUCGUUUAGUUAGUUAUUAGAUAUUUCCAAUUAUAAUUAAGGGAUAUUGAGCUUAUUAGGCAUAUACACACAACACUCAGGUCUCGAACUCUCUUGCAAUAUUCAAACUGCUCUCAAACCCGUACACUAGCAAUCACUUGUAUCAAGCUCAAUAUCAUCCAAAGUUGUAUCAAAUUGUUUGUUCAAUAUAGUUGGUGAUUGGUAGUUUCCAUCACCCGAGGUUUUUUGUGCCGGAGAUCUUCUAAAGAUCAAGG